rnacentral:rRNA from 1 species
CCUACGGGUGGCAGCAGUGAGGAAUAUUGGUCAAUGGCCGCGAGCCUGAACCAGCCAAGCCGCGUGAGGGAAGACGGUCCCAUGGAUUGUAAACUUCUUUUGUCGGGGAGCAAAAGACGCCUCGCGUGGCGUUCCGAGAGUACUCGAAGAAAAAGCAUCGGCUAACUCCGUGCCAGCAGCCGCGGUAAUACGGAGGAUGCGAGCGUUAUCCGGAUUUAUUGGGUUUAAAGGGUGCGCAGGCGGAAGAUCAAGUCAGCGGUAAAAUUGAGAGGCUCAACCUCUUCGAGCCGUUGAAACUGGUUGUCUUGAGUGGGCGAGAGGUAUGCGGAAUGCGUGGUGUAGCGGUGAAAUGCAUAGAUAUCACGCAGAACUCCGAUUGCGAAGGCAGCAUACCGGCGCUCAACUGACGCUCAUGCACGAAAGUGUGGGUAUCGAACAGGAUUAGAUACCCUUGUAGUC